rnacentral:rRNA from 1 species
CGUAGGCUGAUAUAUAAGUCGAUUGUGAAAUCCCCGGGCUUAACCUGGGAAUUGCAGUCGAUACUGCAUAUCUUGAGUAUGGUAGAGGAAAGUGGAAUUCUCGGUGUAGUGGUUAAAUACGUAGAUAUCGAGAAGAACACCGGUGGCGAAGGCGACUUUCUGGGCCAAUACUGACGCUGAGGCGCGAAAGCGUGGGGAGCAAACAGGAUUAGAUACCCUGGUAGUCCACGCUGUAAACGAUGAGAACUAGAUGUUGUUUAAUAAUUAAUUAAGCAGUAUCGCAGCUAACGCGUUAAGUUCUCCGCCUGGGGAGUACGGUCGCAAGAUUAAA